UACAAUAAAAAUAUUUAAAAUUUUAAAGCAAAAAUAUUUUACAAUAUAAAAGACACGCAAUAAGAAAUUAGUAUUAGAAUUUUUAGAAUGGGUAAAUAAAAAAAAUAUAUUUUGUAUUUAAAAAAUAUAUGUGCGGGUAUCCAUAGGUACCCGCGGUUUACCCAAAAUACCCACAACUUAAUGGGUACCCAUCCGUUUUAUCCGUAAUUUUUGAAUUGUAAAAGUUGGCACUCAUACCCGCAAAUUUGCUGGUAAUACGCGGGCACCCGCAGGUUUGGAUCGGGAUUGACCGGUCUAAUUUACGACACACACAGGGAGAGUGAAAGAGACGAGACCUGAGCAAAAAGGCCCGCCG
rnacentral:lncRNA from 1 species